rnacentral:misc_RNA from 1 species
CCUUAAAGAACCUGCCUUUGUAGUGCUCACACAGAUUGUCUGAUGAACGUAAAGAAGCAAGGCGUCUUGCGAUUGAGACUUCAGUGUCCCCUUCGUCUAGAGGCCCAGGACACCGCCCUUUCACGGCGGUAACAGGGGUUCGAAUCCCCUAGGGGACGCCACUUGCUGGUUCGUGAGUGAAAGACGCGUGCCGAUGUAUCUCAAAACUCAUCUUCGGGUGACGUUUGAGAUAUUUGCUCUUUAAAAAUCUGGAUCAAGCUGAAAAUUGAAACGACACACAGUCAAUGUGUGUUCGAGUCUCUCAAAUUUUCGCAAUCAGAAGUGAAACAUCUUCGGGUUGUGA